rnacentral:rRNA from 1 species
GCCGGGUCAUAAACCGGAGGAAGUGGGGAAUGACGUCGAAGUCAGCAAUGGCCUUUAUAUCCUGGGCUACACACACGCUACAAUGGGAAGGGACAAUAGGUUGCGAAACCGCGAGGUGGAGCCAAUCCAGCAAAACUUCCCUCAGUUCAGAUUGCAGGCUGCAACUCGCCUGCAUGAAGUUGGAGUUGCUAGUAAACGCAGGUCAGCCAUACUGCGUUGAAUACGUUCCCGGGGCUU